GGAUUGUGGCUCAAGUGGUAGAGUACUCGCCUAGCACGCAUGAGGCACUGGGCUCGAUCCUCAGCACCA
rnacentral:tRNA from 1 species